rnacentral:lncRNA from 1 species
GAUGUACUGUCACUGUUGUUUCCAGUCCAUUCUAUCUCUAUCAUGUGCUAAAAAUACAUCUAAACACACAGGGGACCCCCGCUGGAGAACAUACCUAAUGUGCACAGUCAGUGGGGAGGUCCUGACAGGAUCUCCCCUGGGGAGAAGCACAAGUUGGCGUUGACCAUGCGCCUGUUGUAUAAUCCAGCGCAUCCAAAGACCAGGACCAUCAUGAACGAAAAGUUUGGGAUCCCACUGCCAGAUGUUCACAAGAAAAGUGUGACCUCCGCAGCCCACCAGGGGGUGAUCAGCGUCCCCAGAGUGGGCCUCUCCACCCUGGUUUCUAGGCAGCAGCCCGGGUACUUUCCCCUGGCCCGGCCCGAGGCAGGAGGCCUGAGAACCGCAGGGGGGCCGCGGCUGGUGGACGUCGGUCUCCCCUUGCCGGCGCCAGACGUCUCUUCUCUGCAGACUUUGGUCCAGCACAAGGCUGCGCCUCUCCACGCCAGAGAAGCACAACCCUUUCCCUCAGCGCAGGUCGGUCUGUCCUUUAUUCGCAAAGACUCUACCGCAUGAAAAACCUAGUUGCUUGGUGUAGCCAUUGAAUAUAUUAUCUAUAUCGACUCCAGAUGGAGGAUUUCAAACCGCAAAGUUGUACAAUAUCAGAACUACUAGUUUAAAAGUGGUGAAAAGCUCCAUCUCUCCUCCUGGUUUUCGGAGGUUUGGCACGGGGAUCUGAAUACAAAGGUGUUGCUUCAGAAGCAAUAAGACACUGUGUUGAACGCUCGCUGCUACAAGCCAAUCUAUUCUUUAAAACAAUUCCCUUAUUAGCUUUGAUUUGUUAGAUUACAAUCCCACAACGACAGUUCUCUAGUUGUAGAUGUAAGUAAGUGCGAUGAAGGCUGCUUCAGUCCUUGCCUUGUUAUUUGU